UACGUAGGUGGCAAGCGUUGUCCGGAAUUAUUUGGCGUAAAGAGCGCGCAGGUUGUUGAUUAAGUCUGAUGUGAAAGUCCACGGCUUAACCGUGGAGGGUCAUUGGAAACUGGUCGACUUGAGUGCAGAAGAGGGAAGUGGAAUUCCAUGUGUAGCGGUGAAAUGCGUAGAGAUAUGGAGGAACACCAGUGGCGAAGGCGGCUUCCUGGUCUGUAACUGACACUGAGGCGCGAAAGCGUGGGGAGCAAACAGGAUUAGAUA
rnacentral:rRNA from 1 species